rnacentral:rRNA from 1 species
GAUGAACGCUGGCGGCGUGCCUAAUACAUGCAAGUAGAACGCUGAAGGAGGAGCUUGCUCUUCUGGAUGAGUUGCGAACGGGUGAGUAACGCGUAGGUAACCUGCCUGGUAGCGGGGGAUAACUAUUGGAAACGAUAGCUAAUACCGCAUGACAACAGUUAUUGCAUGAUAACUGUUUAAAAGUGGCAACUGCUCCACUACCAGAUGGACCUGCGUUGUAUUAGCUAGUUGGUGAGGUAACGGCUCACCAAGGCGACGAUACAUAGCCGACCUGAGAGGGUGAUCGGCCACACUGGGACUGAGACACGGCCCAGACUCCUACGGGAGGCAGCAGUAGGGAAUCUUCGGCAAUGGACGGAAGUCUGACCGUGCAACGCCGCGUGAGUGAAGAAGGUUUUCGGAUCGUAAAGCUCUGUUGUAAGAGAAGAACGAGUGUGAGAGUGGAAAGUUCACACUGUGACGGUAUCUUACCAGAAAGGGACGGCUAACUACGUG